rnacentral:tRNA from 2 species
GCCGGCGUGGCAGAGCAUGGACACUGCGGCGGAAUGCGAAUCCGCUGGGCUUCGCCCGUCGGGAGUUCAAAUCUCCCCGCCGGCU